UUUCACUUUCCUAAAUCAGAACUCAUGCUUUCCCUUUCACAAUUUCACGCUUUUCUUUCACCAAGCUUCAAAUUUGCCGAAGAUCAAGCUGAAAUAUUUGCUGAAGAACUCACCAAGACCAAUUUGCUGAAGAUUCCGUCAAGUUUGAAAGGGAUCCUACAAUAAUAUGAAACUGGCGUAGAAGCAGAAAAAGAGAUCUUUUCAAAAUUGGAGUUGCAAAGGGAAAUGGAGGUGAACAAAUUUUAAGUGGAUGAUGAAGAGUUUUUGAGCUAUUCGAUUGAGGGUAUUCAGCAGUGGGCCUACCUUAAGGUAGGAGGUGAUUGAAAAAGGGGAAGCCGGUCCCCUUACAUAGCCAUAAUAGUAAGUUUUUUCGUUCAAUAAAUAAUUGAAUGUAGAAAGGGGAUCCUAAACUAAAAAGGAGUCCAUGACCCCCUUUUAGAGCGUAUAAGGAAAGUUUGAUUACAUUGUCUUUGAUUUUGUGAAAUAUAUUCACUGGUGGAAUAUAUUGAACUAUUAUAAGUGUACUUUUUUAACUAUUAUGUACACAUUUAGAAUAUUGCUUUAUAAGUUUGUGUAUGUACACAACACAUUAUGUUUGAAGUUUAUGGAAAAUCUAUAAAUUUGUAAGA